rnacentral:rRNA from 1 species
GACAGAGGAGCCAAGCGUUGUCCGGACUGACUGGGCGUAAAGCGCACGCAGGCGGCGCUGCGCGUGGGGUGUGAAAGCUCUUGGCUUAACUGAGAGAGGCCAUCCCAUACGGCAGUGCUCGAGCGGUGCAGAGGUCCGCGGAAUUGCCGGUGUAGUGGUGAAAUGCGUAGAGAUCGGCAGGAACAGCCCAGGGGGAACCAGCGGACUGGGCAUCAGCUGACGCUCAGGUGCGACAGCGUGGGGAGCGAACCGG